GUAAGGAAUAUUGGUCAAUGGGCGGAAGCCUGAACCAGCCAUGCCGCGUGCAGGACGACGGCCCUACGGGUUGUAAACUGCUUUUGCCCGGGAAUAACCCCCCGCUCUUGAGCGGGGCUGAACGUACCGGGAGAAUAAGGAUCGGCUAACUCCGUGCCAGCAGCCGCGGUAAUACGGAGGAUCCGAGCGUUAUCCGGAUUUAUUGGGUUUAAAGGGUGCGUAGGCGGCCUGUUAAGUCAGGGGUGAAAUACGGCAGCUCAACUGUCGCAGUGCCCUUGAUACUGACGGGCUUGAAUACCGGUGAAGGCGGCGGAAUGAGACAAGUAGCGGUGAAAUGCAUAGAUAUGUCUCAGAACCCCGAUUGCGAAGGCAGCUGCCUAACCGGCGAUUGACGCUGAUGCACGAAAGCGUGGGGAUCGAACAGGAUUAGAAACCCGGGUAGUC
rnacentral:rRNA from 1 species